CUACGGGGUGCUCCAGUGAGGAAUUUUGCGCAAUGGGGGAAACCCUGACGCAGCAACGCCGCGUGAGUGAAGAAGGCCUUUGGGUCGUAAAGCUCUGUCAACUGGGAAGAAGUUAGAAUCUAUUAAUAGUAGAUUUUAUUGACGGUACCAGUGGAGGAAGCGCCGGCUAACUCCGUGCCAGCAGCCGCGGUAACACGGGGGGCGCAAGCGUUAUUCGGAAUUAUUGGGCGUAAAGGGCGCGCAGGCGGUCUUGUCAGUCAGGUGUGAAAGCCCGGGGCUCAACCCUGGAAGUGCACUUGGAACAGCAAGACUUGAGUACGGGAGAGGAGAGAGGAAUUCCUGGUGUAGAGGUGAAAUUCGUAGAUAUCAGGAGGAACACCGAUGGCGAAGGCAUCUCUCCGGACCGAUACUGACGCUGAGGCGCGAAGGCGUGGGUAGCGAACGGGAUUAGAUACCCCUGUAGUC
rnacentral:rRNA from 1 species